rnacentral:rRNA from 1 species
UACGUAGGGUGCAAGCGUUAAUCGGAAUUACUGGGCGUAAAGCGUGCGCAGGCGGUUAUGUAAGACAGAUGUGAAAUGCCCGGGCUUAACCUGGGAACUGCAUUUGUGACUGCAUGGCUAGAAUCUGGCAGAGGGGGGUAGAAUUCCACGUGUAGCAGUGAAAUGCGUAGAUAUGUGGAGGAACACCGAUGGCGAAGGCAGCCCCCUGGGAUAACACUGACGCUCAUGCACGAAAGCGUGGGGAGCAAACAGG